UACGUAGGGUGCAAGCGUUGUCCGGAAUUAUUGGGCGUAAAGAGCUCGUAGGCGGUCUGUCGCGUCUGCUGUGAAAACUCAGGGCUUAACCCUGAGCUUGCAGUGGGUACGGGCAGACUAGAGUGCGGUAGGGGGAGACUGGAAUUCCUGGUGUAGCGGUGAAAUGCGCAGAUAUCAGGAGGAACACCGGUGGCGAAGGCGGGUCUCUGGGCCGUAACUGACGCUGAGGAGCGAAAGCAUGGGGAGCGAACAGG
rnacentral:rRNA from 1 species